rnacentral:rRNA from 1 species
GAUGAACGCUAGCUACAUGCUUAACACAUGCAAGUCGAGGGGCAGCAUGGUCUUAGCUUGCUCAGGCCGAUGUCGACCGUCGCACGGUUGAGUAACACUUAUCCAACCUGCCGUCUACUCUUGGACAGCCUUCUGAAAGGCAUAUUAAUACAAAAUGGCCUCAUUAGUUCACAUGUUCACAUGAUUAAAGGUAUUCCGGUAGACGAUGGGGAUGAGUUCCAUUGGAUAGUAGGCGGUGUAACGGCCCACCUAGUCUUGGAUGGAUAGGCGUUCUGGAAGGAAGGUCGCCCACAUGGGAACUGAAACAGCGUCCAAACGACUAAGGGAGGAAGCAGUGAGGAAUAUGGGGCAAUGGGCGAGAGCAUGAAACAGCCAAGUAGAGUGAAGGAUGACUGCGCUACGGGUUGUAAAAUUCUUUUAGAAAGGAAUAAAGUCGGGUCUGUAGACCAGAUUGAAUGUACUUUAUGAAUAAGGAUCGGCUAACUCCGUG